GGAUUGUAAACUCCUUUUAUCAGGGACGAUAAUGACGGUACCUGAAGAAAAAGCUCCGGCUAACUACGUGCCAGCAGCCGCGGUAAUACGUAGGGAGCGAGCGUUGUCCGGAAUUACUGGGUGUAAAGGGAGCGUAGGCGGGAUAGCAAGUCAGAUGUGAAAACUAUGGGCUCAACCUGUAGAUUGCAUUUGAAACUGUUGUUCUUGAGUGAAGUAGAGGUAAGCGGAAUUCCUAGUGUAGCGGUGAAAUGCGUAGAUAUUAGGAGGAACAUCGGUGGCGAAGGCGGCUUACUGGGCUUUUACUGACGCUGAGGCUCGAAAGCGUGGGGAGCAAACAGGAUUAGAUACCCUGGUAGUCCACGCUGUAAACGAUGAUUACUAGGUGUGGGGGGACUGACCCCUUCCGUGYCGCAGUUAACACAAUAAGUAAUCCACCUGGGGAGUA
rnacentral:rRNA from 1 species